rnacentral:lncRNA from 1 species
CUCUUGAAAGUUCUAAAAUGUUAAUCACAAAUCAAACUUGAUCUUUCUCUUAAAAAAACCACAAUACAAGGUAAAAAUAAAAAAAGGAAAAUAAAGACAAAACCUUCCCAAGAUUUCUUAGUCUUGGUUGCUUUGAUACAAGAGACCAUUUCCUAGAACCCUCUAAUAUUUCUUCUUUUUCUUGUCGUGGUUUCCUUUAUGAUAUAUAAAAUUUAAAAUUUUGAAGAAAAACAAGAAUUAUGACUUAAUAAGGAAUUAAAAAAGAAAAGAAAAAGAGAGAGAGUAUCAAAUUGAAAAUGGAAGCCAAGUGUUAGACUUGCCUAAGAGUUGCAUAAUAUUCUUCAACUCAUCCUUCUCCUUCUUCAUUCAUUUCCAUGCAACAAAAUCCACUCUUUUGAUUAUUUUGAACUUCAAAACCUUCCAUAUAUAUAUUUUUUUCCUUCUUCAAAUUAAAUCACCAAAAACAAGAGAGCAUAUAGCAAACCAAAUUAAAAUAUAUAGAGAAGAAGUAGUAGCAAGAGUUUUGG